rnacentral:tRNA from 1 species
UGGCCAAGUGGUAAGGCAGCGGGUUUUGGUCCCGUUACUCGGAGGUUCGAAUCCUUC